UACGUAGGUCCCGAGCGUUGUCCGGAUUUAUUGGGCGUAAAGCGAGCGCAGGUGGUUUAUUAAGUCUGGUGUAAAAGGCAGUGGCUCAACCAUUGUAUGCAUUGGAAACUGGUAGACUUGAGUGCAGGAGAGGUGAGUGGAAUUCCAUGUGUAGCGGUGAAAUGCGUAGAUAUAUGGAGGAACACCGGUGGCGAAAGCGGCUCUCUGGCCUGUAACUGACACUGAGGCUCGAAAGCGUGGGGAGCAAACAGG
rnacentral:rRNA from 1 species